GUUGUCCCGGUUUAAGCGUGUAGGCUGGUUUUCCAGGCAAAUCCGGAAAAUCAAGGCUGAGGCGUGAUGACGAGGCACUACGGUGCUGAAGCAACAAAUGCCCUGCUUCCAGGAAAAGCCUCUAAGCAUCAGGUAACAUCAAAUCGUACCCCAAACCGACACAGGUGGUCAGGUAGAGAAUACCAAGGCGCUUGAGAGAACUCGGGUGAAGGAACUAGGCAAAAUGGUGCCGUAACUUCGGGAGAAGGCACGCUGACACGUAGGUGAAGUGAUUUACUCAUGGAGCUGAAGUCAGUCGAAGAUACCAGCUGGCUGCAACUGUUUAUUAAAAACACAGCACUGUGCAAACACGAAAGUGGACGUAUACGGUGUGACGCCUGCCCGGUGCCGGAAGGUUAAUUGAUGGGGUCAGCGCAAGCGAAGCUCCUGAUCGAAGCCCCGGUAAACGGCGGCCGUAACUAUAACGGUCCUAAGGUAGCGAAAUUCCUUGUCGGGUAAGUUCCGACCUGCACGAAUGGCGUAAUGAUGGCCAGGCUGUCUCCACCCGAGACUCAGUGAAAUUGAACUCGCUGUGAAGAUGCAGUGUACCCGCGGCAAGACGGAAAGACCCCGUGAACCUUUACUAUAGCUUGACACUGAACAUUGAGCCUUGAUGUGUAGGAUAGGUGGGAGGCUUUGAAGUGUGGACGCCAGUCUGCAUGGAGCCGACCUUGAAAUACCACCCUUUAAUGUUUGAUGUUCUAACGUGGACCCGUUACCCGGGUUGCGGACAGUGUCUGGUGGGUAGUUUGACUGGGGCGGUCUCCUCCUAAAGAGUAACGGAGGAGCACGAAGGUUGGCUAAUCCUGGUCGGACAUCAGGAGGUUAGUGCAAUGGCAUAAGCCAGCUUGACUGCGAGCGUGACGGCGCGAGCAGGUGCGAAAGCAGGUCAUAGUGAUCCGGUGGUUCUGAAUGGAAGGGCCAUCGCUCAACGGAUAAAAGGUACUCCGGGGAUAACAGGCUGAUACCGCCCAAGAGUUCAUAUCGACGGCGGUGUUUGGCACCUCGAUGUCGGCUCAUCACAUCCUGGGGCUGAAGUAGGUCCCAAGGGUAUGGCUGUUCGCCAUUUAAAGUGGUACGCGAGCUGGGUUUAGAACGUCGUGAGACAGUUCGGUCCCUAUCUGCCGUGGGCGCUGGAGAACUGAGGGGGGCUGCUCCUAGUACGAGAGGACCGGAGUGGACGCAUCACUGGUGUUCGGGUUGUCAUGCCAAUGGCACUGCCCGGUAGCUAAAUGCGGAAGAGAUAAGUGCUGAAAGCAUCUAAGCACGAAACUUGCCCCGAGAUGAGUUCUCCCUGAGACUUAAAGUCUCCUGAAGGAACGUUGAAGACGACGACGUUG
rnacentral:rRNA from 1 species